rnacentral:lncRNA from 1 species
AGAGGAUUGAAGUCUUCUGGAAAUGUCGACAGGUAACGAUAUCCCCUAAUACGUGUUCCGAUCCUCAUCAGCCUUCACCCAAGAACAUGUUUAAGUGAUGAAGGGUCCAGAGCUGAGGAAGAAAUUCCACUGCUAUUCUCAGAUGUAUAUACCCAAACAUGGGUAAAAACAAGGAAGCAUUUAUAGCACUGUGUAUUGUUGAAGUCCUUUUGGUUAAAAAUGGGACGAAACAAAACAAACCAAAACAAAACAAAAACAUUUUGGGCAGCCUCCUUCCCCUGUUGCCGACUCGUGAGUUUCCUACUUGGACAUGAGAAAUUACAGUGAUGGAACAAAGUGGGAACUCUGCUUGGCCAUGGACACUCAGGGUAAAGCUGAG